GACGAACGCUGGCGGCGUGCUUAACACAUGCAAGUCGAACGGAAAGGCCCUGCUUUUGUGGGGUUCUCGAGUGGCGAACGGGUGAGUAACACGUGAGUAACCUGCCCUUGACUUUGGGAUAACUUCAGGAAACUGGGGCUAAUACCGGAUAGGAGCUCCUGCUGCAUGGUGGGGGUUGGAAAGUCUCGGCGGUCGGGGAUGGAUUCGCGGCUUAUCAGCUUGUUGGUGGGGUAGUGGCUUACCAAGGCUUUGACGGGUAGCCGGCAUGAGAGGGUGACCGGCCACAUUGGGACUAAGAUACGGCCCAGACUGCUACGGGAGGCAGCAGUGGGGAAUAUUGCACAAUGAGCGGAAGCCUGAUGCGGCAACGCCGCGUGCGGGAUGACGGCCUUCGGGUUGUAAACCGCUUUCGCCUGUGACGAAGCGUGAGUGACGGUAAUGGGUAAAGAAGCACCGGCUAACUACGUG
rnacentral:rRNA from 1 species